UACAGAGGUCUCAAGCGUUUGUUCGGAUUCAUUGGGCGUAAAGGGUGCGUAGGCGGCGCGGUAAGUCGGGUGUGAAAUCUCGGAGCUUAACUCCGAAACUGCAUUCGAUACUGCCGUGCUUGAGGACUGGAGAGGAGACUGGAAUUUACGGUGUAGCGGUGAAAUGCGUAGAUAUCGUAAGGAAGGCCGGUGGCGAAGGCGAGUUCCUGGACAGUUACUGACGCUGAGGCACGAAGGCCAGGGGAGCAAACGGGG
rnacentral:rRNA from 1 species